GGAGAGGUGCCAGAGUGGUCGAUCGGGCUCGCCUGGAAAGCGAGUGUACCUUCACGGGUACCGAGGGUUCGAAUCCCUCCUUCUCCG
rnacentral:tRNA from 2 species